rnacentral:rRNA from 1 species
GAUGAACGCUAGCUACAGGCUUAACACAUGCAAGUCGAGGGGCAGCAUGGUCUUAGCUUGCUAAGGCCGAUGGCGACCGGCGCACGGGUGAGUAACACGUAUCCAACCUGCCGUCUACUCUUGGACAGCCUUCUGAAAGGAAGAUUAAUACAAGAUGGCAUCAUGAGUCCGCAUGUUCACAUGAUUAAAGGUAUUCCGGUAGACGAUGGGGAUGCGUUCCAUUAGAUAGUAGGCGGGGUAACGGCCCACCUAGUCUUCGAUGGAUAGGGGUUCUGAGAGGAAGGUCCCCCACAUUGGAACUGAGACACGGUCCAAACUCCUACGGGAGGCAGCAGUGAGGAAUGUUGGUCAAUGGGCGCAGGCCUGAACCAGCCAAGUAGCGUGAAGGAUGACUGCCCUAUGGGUUGUAAACUUCUUUUAUAAAGGAAUAAAGUCGGGUAUGUAUACCCGUUUGCAUGUACUUUAUGAAUAAGGAUCGGCUAACUCCGUG